rnacentral:rRNA from 1 species
UCACUGCUAUCGGGGUUCGAUUAAGCCAUGCGAGUCGCGAGGGUUCGGCCCUCGGCGUACUGCUCGUAACACGUGGAUAACCUGCCCUAAGGAAGGGGAUACCCCCGGGAAACUGGGGCUAAUACCCUAUAGGUUACCGCUGCUGGAAGCUUGGUAACCGAAAGUUCCGGCGCCUUAGGAUGGAUCGCGGCCGAUUAGGUUGUUGUGGGGGUAACGGCCCACAAGCCCGUAAUACGGUACGGGUUGGUGGAGGCAAGAGCCCGGACGUGGAGUUCUGAGCACGAAUACCAGGCCUACCGGGCGGCAGCAGGCGCGAUG